rnacentral:rRNA from 1 species
AGCGGCGGACGGGUGAGUAACACGUGGGUAACCUGCCUGUAAGACUGGGAUAACUCCGGGAAACCGGGGCUAAUACCGGAUGGUUGUUUGAACCGCAUGGUUCAAACAUAAAAGGUGGCUUCGGCUACCACUUACAGAUGGACCCGCGGCGCAUUAGCUAGUUGGUGAGGUAACGGCUCACCAAGGCAACGAUGCGUAGCCGACCUGAGAGGGUGAUCGGCCACACUGGGACUGAGACACGGCCCAGACUCCUACGGGAGGCAGCAGUAGGGAAUCUUCCGCAAUGGACGAAAGUCUGACGGAGCAACGCCGCGUGAGUGAUGAAGGUUUUCGGAUCGUAAAGCUCUGUUGUUAGGGAAGAACAAGUACCGUUCGAAUAGGGCGGUACCUUGACGGUACCUAACCAGAAAGCCACGGCUAACUACGUGCCAGCAGCCGCGGUAAUACGUAGGUGGCAAGCGUUGUCCGGAAUUAUUGGGCGUAAAGGGCUCGCAGGCGGUUUCUUAAGUCUGAUGUGAAAGCCCCCGGCUCAACCGGGGAGGGUCAUUGGAAACUGGGGAACUUGAGUGCAGAAGAGGAGAGUGGAAUUCCACGUGUAGCGGUGAAAUGCGUAGAGAUGUGGAGGAACACCAGUGGCGAAGGCGACUCUCUGGUCUGUAACUGACGCUGAGGAGCGAAAGCGUGGGGAGCGAACAGGAUUAGAUACCCUGGUAGUCCA